AUUGAACGCUGGCGGCAGGCCUAACACAUGCAAGUCGAACGAGUGGCGGACGGGUGAGUAAUGUCUGGGAAACUGCCCGAUGGAGGGGGAUAACUACUGGAAACGGUAGCUAAUACCGCAUACCAUCGGAUGUGCCCAGAUGGGAUUAGCUAGUAGGUGGGGUAACGGCUCACCUAGGCGACGAUCCCUAGCUGGUCUGAGAGGAUGACCAGCCACACUGGAAAUGAGACACGGUCCAGAUUCCUACGGGAGGAAGCAGUGGGGAAGAUUGCACAAUGGGCGCAAGCCUGAUGCAGUCAUGCCGCGUGGAUGAAGAAGGCCUGCGGGUUGUAAAGUACUUUCAGCGAGGAGGCGUUACUCGCAGAAGAAGCACCGACUAAAUCCGUGCCAGCAGCCGCGGUAAUUC
rnacentral:rRNA from 1 species